rnacentral:rRNA from 1 species
GAUGAACGCUGGCGGCGUGCCUAAUACAUGCAAGUCGAGCGAACGGACGAGAAGCUUGCGUCUCUGAUGUUAGCGGCGGACGGGUGAGUAACGCGUGGAUAACCUACCUAUAAGACUGGGAUAACUUCGGGAAACCGGAGCUAAUACCGUAUAAUAUUUUGAACCGCAUGGGUGAAAAGUGAAAGACGGUCUUGCUGUCACUUAUAGAUGGAUCCGCGCUGCAUUAGCUAGUUGGUAAGGUAACGGCUUACCAAGGCAACGAUGCAUAGCCGACCUGAGAGAGUGAUCGGCCACACUGGAACUGAGACACGGUCCAGACUCCUACGGGAGGCAGCAGUAGGGAAUCUUCCGCAAUGGGCGAAAGCCUGACGGAGCAACGCCGCGUGAGUGAUGAAGGUCUUCGGAUCGUAAAACUCUGUUAUUAGGGAAGAACAUAUGUGUAAGUAACUGUGCACAUCUUGACGGUACCUAAUCAGAAAGCCACGGCUAACUACGUG